UGAGGGGUCCGUAGGCGGCCUGUUGCAAGGCAAAAUCUCUGUCCCUAUCCAAUAUACCCUCAUUUUCCAGUGGCAGUCCAAAUUUCCCCGACCAUCAUCCCAGAUGGCCUCUAUUUUAUCAACCUACCUAUUGUAUUCAUUGUGAACUUGUUCUCGUCCUGAAUAUGCAUGAAAUAUUUGCCACUGGACGUUGAGCAACCAACAAUCAAUCAAUCUUUCUGCCUUUAUAAGAUUUGCUGUCAAUAAUUUUGCCC
rnacentral:lncRNA from 1 species